AUUAAAACACUGAUUCUUGUAUGAUCACUAAAGUUAAGCAAUGUUGGGCCUGGUCAGUACUAAGAUGGGUGAUGACUUUGAAAUACCAGGUGCUGUAAG